rnacentral:rRNA from 1 species
GCUGGCGGCGUGCUUAACACAUGCAAGUCCCUCGAAGCACUUUAUUUGAUUUCCUUCGGGACUGAUUAUUUUGUGACUGAGUGGCGGACGGGUGAGUAACGCGUGGGUAACCUGCCUUGUACAGGGGGAUAACAGUUGGAAACGGCUGCUAAUACCGCAUAAGCGCACAGCAUCGCAUGAUGCAGUGUGAAAAACUCCGGUGGUAUAAGAUGGACCCGCGUUGGAUUAGCUAGUUGGUGUGGUAACGGCCCACCAAGGCGACGAUCCAUAGCCGACCUGAGAGGGUGACCGGCCACAUUGGGACUGAGACACGGCCCAAACUCCUACGGGAGGCAGCAGUGGGGAAUAUUGCACAAUGGGCGAAAGCCUGAUGCAGCGACGCCGCGUGAGCGAAGAAGUAUUUCGGUAUGUAAAGCUCUAUCAGCAGGGAAGAUAAUGACGGUACCUGACUAAGAAGCACCGGCUAAAUACGUGCCAGCAGCCGCGGUAAUACGUAUGGUGCAAGCGUUAUCCGGAUUUACUGGGUGUAAAGGGAGCGCAGGCGGUGCGGCAAGUCUGAUGCGAAAGCCCGGGGCUCAACCCCGGUACUGCAUUGGAAACUGUCGUACUAGAGUGUCGGAGGGGUAAGCGGAAUUCCUAGUGUAGCGGUGAAAUGCGUAGAUAUUAGGAGGAACACCAGUGGCGAAGGCGGCUUACUGGACGAUAACUGACGCUGAGGCUCGAAAGCGUG